UGUAAUACCUUACCGCAGUCCGCGGGAAAACUAGCGGUGCAAGCUUUGAUCGGAGUUACUUGGCGUAUAUCGUGCGCGGGCGGCAUAUUAAGUCAGAGGUGAAAACCCUAGGCUCAACCGAGGAACUGCAUACGAAACUAAUGAAGUAGAGGAUCGGAGAGGGAGGUAGAAGUCCUGGUGUAGCGGUGAAAUGCGUAGAUAUCUGGAGGAAUACCAGUGGCGAAGGCGACCUCCUGGACGAAAACUGACGCUCAAGCACUAAAGCAUGGGGAGCAAACAGGAUUAGAUACCCCUGUAGUC
rnacentral:rRNA from 1 species